GCCACCGUAGCUCAGGGGUAGAGCCCCCGCAUGGUAAGCGGGUGGUCAUGGGUUCGAUUCCCAUCGGUGGCUCCA
rnacentral:tRNA from 1 species